rnacentral:ncRNA from 2 species
GUGAGGGAUGCGGGAGAGAUCUGAUUUCAGGCGCCGAAGGAGCAAAGGCAAUAAACUCUCAGGCAAAAGGACCGUAUUCUAAUG